GAUGAACGCUGGCGGCGUGCCUAAUACAUGCAAGUAGAACGCUGAAGGAGGAGCUUGCUCUUCUGGAUGAGUUGCGAACGGGUGAGUAACGCGUAGGUAACCUGCCUGGUAGCGGGGGAUAACUAUUGGAAACGAUAGCUAAUACCGCAUGACAACAGUUAUUGCAUGAUAACUGUUUAAAAGGGGCAACUGCUCCACUACCAGAUGGACCUGCGUUGUAUUAGCUAGUUGGUGAGGUAACGGCUCACCAAGGCGACGAUACAUAGCCGACCUGAGAGGGUGAUCGGCCCACCUGGGACUUAGACACGGCCCAGACUCCUACGGGAGGCAGCAGUAGGGAAUCUUCGGCAAUGGACGGAAGUCUGACCGAGCAACGCCGCGUGAGUGAAGAAGGUUUUCGGAUCGUAAAGCUCUGUUGUAAGAGAAGAACGAGUGUGAGAGUGGAAAGUUCACACUGUGACGGUAUCUUACCAGAAAGGGACGGCUAACUACGUG
rnacentral:rRNA from 1 species